AUAUAUCAACCUCUUCAGCUUUUUGCAUGUUGAGUGUUGGAUGUGGGGGGUAUUUUUGCUGGACUCUAGAAUGUGAGGUCAGCUCCCCUAAAAUGUAUCAGCGAAACAAUUUGUUUACCGCUCAUUGGUGUGAUAACUAUCUACGCUAUUGACGGUGAAAGCACGUUUAGCUCCUAACAGUCCAUUAGCUUGGACAACCUCUUAUUA
rnacentral:misc_RNA from 1 species